CAGUGGGCAGGCGCACCUGCUGACCAUCCAGUGCAGAAGGAAGUGCAGCAGCUGCCUGCGUGUAACCAGGAGGAGUCGUCGGGUUGCUUCUGCAUAACAUGCUGAUUGCUUGAGGUACAUGGCCUGCCAGGUCUUCAAAUGGUGGCCCUCAUCAUGUGUAUAAACAUUGUGAUACAUCUUUUUUGGUAUCUACACCACUCUUAAGUGUAUGAGCAGAUAUCCUUCUGAAUUGUGAUCAGAUGACUUUAUGGUACAUUGGAUAGUGUAACUUUGCUGCACAUAUACUUCUCUAUUUAUAUCCAUUACCAAACAAGAAUUA